rnacentral:rRNA from 1 species
GACGAACGCUGGCGGCGUGCUUAACACAUGCAAGUCGAACGGAAAGGCCCUGCUUUUGUGGGGUGCUCGAGUGGCGAACGGGUGAGUAACACGUGAGUAACCUGCCCUUGACUUUGGGAUAACUUCAGGAAACUGGGGCUAAUACCGGAUAGGAGCUCCUGCUGCAUGGUGGGGGUUGGAAAGUUUCGGCGGUUGGGGAUGGACUCGCGGCUUUUCAGCUUGUUGGUGGGGUAGUGGCUUACCAAGGCUUUGACGGGUAGCCGGCCUGAGAGGGUGACCGGCCACAUUGGGACUGAGAUACGGCCCAGACUCCUACGGGAGGCAGCAGUGGGGAAUAUUGCACAAUGGGCGGAAGCCUGAUGCAGCAACGCCGCGUGCGGGAUGACGGCCUUCGGGUUGUAAACCGCUUUCGCCUGUGACGAAGCGUGAGUGACGGUAAUGGGUAAGGAAGCACCGGCUAACUACGUG